GUCGAACGCUGGCGGCGUGCUUAACACAUGCAAGUCGAACGGAAAGGCCCUGCUUUUGUGGGGUGCUCGAGUGGCGAACGGGUGAGUAACACGUGAGUAACCUGCCCUUGACUUUGGGAUAACAUCAGGAAACUGGGGCUAAUACCGGAUAGGAGCUCCUGCUGCAUGGUGGGGGUUGGAAAGUUUCGGCGGUUGGGGAUGGACUCGCGGCUUAUCAGCUUGUUGGUGGGGUAGUGGCUUACCAAGGCUUUGACGGGUAGCCGGCCUGAGAGGGUGACCGGCCACAUUGGGACUGAGAUACGGCCCAGACUCCUACGGGAGGCAGCAGUGGGGAAUAUUGCACAAUGGGCGGAAGCCUGAUGCAGCAACGCCGCGUGCGGGAUGACGGCCUUCGGGUUGUAAACCGCUUUCGCCUGUGACGAAGCGUGAGUGACGGUAAUGGGUAAAGAAGCACCGGCUAACUACGUG
rnacentral:rRNA from 1 species